rnacentral:rRNA from 1 species
AGUGAACGCUGGCGGUAGGCCUAACACAUGCAAGUCGAACGGCAGCACAGUAAGAGCUUGCUCUUACGGGUGGCGAGUGGCGGACGGGUGAGGAAUACAUCGGAAUCUACUUUUUCGUGGGGGAUAACGUAGGGAAACUUACGCUAAUACCGCAUACGACCUACGGGUGAAAGCAGGGGAUCUUCGGACCUUGCGCGAUUGAAUGAGCCGAUGUCGGAUUAGCUAGUUGGCGGGGUAAAGGCCCACCAAGGCGACGAUCCGUAGCUGGUCUGAGAGGAUGAUCAGCCACACUGGAACUGGGACACGGUCCAGACUCCUACGGCAGGCAGCAGUGGGGAAUAUUGGACAAUGGGCGCAAGCCUGAUCCAGCCAUACCGCGUGGGUGAAGAAGGCCUUCGGGUUGUAAAGCCCUUUUGUUGGGAAAGAAAAGCAGCAGGUUAAUACCCCGCUGUUCUGACGGUACCCAAAGAAUAAGCACCGGCUAACUUCGUG